rnacentral:rRNA from 1 species
CCCUUAGAUGUUCUGGGCGGCCCGCGCACUGCAAUGGCGCUUUCAGCGAGUUCCUAUGUUGAAUUUUCCUGGGUAUUCUUGGAAGCGGCGUCUUGACUUGGGAUAGAUCCUUGUAAUUGUUGGUUUUGAACGAGGAAUUCCUUGUAAUCGCGGUUGAUCAGCUCGCGUUGAAUACGUCCCUGCCCUUUGUACACACCGCCCGUCGCUCCUACCGAUGAAUCGUCCGGUGAAGUUCACAGAGUGGCGGUUCGUGGAGUUGCUCGCGAAGUGAAAUGGACCUCACGAUUUAGAGGAAGGAGAAGUCGUAACA